ACCAGCAGCCAUAUCACCCUGCAACUCACAACUGGCAACCCACUGAAGUUAAGCACGUGUGAGCCUGGGCAGUACUUAGAUGGGAGACUUCCUGGGAAAAACUAAGAUCACUGCUGGAA
rnacentral:rRNA from 1 species